rnacentral:rRNA from 1 species
GCAUAUCAAUAAGCGGAGGAAAAGAAACCAACAGGGAUUGCCCCAGUAACGGCGAGUGAAGCGGCAACAGCUCAAAUUUGAAAUCUGGCCCCCCGGGUCCGAGUUGUAAUUUGUAGAGGAUGCUUUUGGUGAGGUGCCGCCCGAGUUCCCUGGAACGGGACGCCACAGAGGGUGAGAGCCCCGUCUGGCUGGCCACCGAGCCUCUGUAAAGCUCCUUCGACGAGUCGAGUAGUUUGGGAAUGCUGCUCAAAAUGGGAGGUAUAUGUCUUCUAAAGCUAAAUAUUGGCCAGAGACCGAUAGCGCACAAGUAGAGUGAUCGAAAGAUGAAAAGCACCUUGAAAAGAGGGUUAAAUAGUACGUGAAAUUGUUGAAAGGGAAGCGCUUGUGACCAGACUUGGGCGCGGCGGAUCAUCCGGGGUUCUCUCCGGUGCACUUCGCCGCGUUCAGGCCAGCAUCAGUUCGUCGCGGGGGAUAAAGGCUUCGGGAACGUGGCUCCUCCGGGAGUGUUAUAGCCCGUUGCAUAAUACCCUGCGGUGGACUGAGGACCGCGCAUCUGCAAGGAUGCUGGCGUAAUGGUCACCAGCGACCCGUCUUGAAACACGGACC